UACAGAGGUCUCGAGCGUUGUUCGGAUUCAUUGGGCGUAAAGGGUGCGUAGGCGGCGCGGUAAGUCGGGUGUGAAAUCUCGGAGCUUAACUCCGAAACUGCAUUCGAUACUGCCGUGCUUGAGGACUGGAGAGGAGACUGGAAUUUACGGUGUAGCGGUGAAAUGCGUAGAUAUCGUAAGGAAGACCAGUGGCGAAGGCGGGUCUCUGGACAGUUCCUGACGCUGAGGAGCGAAAGCCAGGGGAGCAAACGGG
rnacentral:rRNA from 1 species